rnacentral:rRNA from 1 species
CAUGACUGGGGUGAAGUCGUAACAAGGUAACCCUAGGGGAACCUGGGGUUGGAUCACCUCCUUACCUUAA